UUAAGCCAUGCAAGUCGAACGAGUUUAGGCUCGUGGCGUACGGCUCAGUAACACGUGGAUAACCUACCCUUAGGACCGGGAUAACCUUGGGAAACUGAGGACAAUACUGGAUAGGCAAUUUUUCCUGUAAUGGUUUUUUGUUUAAAUGUUUUUUCGCCUAAGGAUGGGUCUGCGGCCGAUUAGGUAAUUGGUUAGGUAAUGGCUUACCAAGCCGUUGAUCGGUACGGGUUGUGAGAGCAAGAGCCCGGAGAUGGAACCUGAGACAAGGUUCCAGGCCCUACGGGGUGCAGCAGGCGCGAAACCUCCGCAAUGUGAGAAAUCGCGACGGGGGGAUCCCAAGUGCCAUUCUUAACGGGAUGGCUUUUCAUUAGUGUAAAGAGCUUUUGGAAUAAGAGCUGGGCAAGACCGGUGCCAGCCGCCGCGGUAACACCGGCAGCUCUAGUGGUAGCAAUUUUUAUUGGGCCUAAAGCGUCCGUAGCCGGUUUAAUAAGUCUCUGGUGAAAUCCUGUAGCUUAACUGUGGGAAUUGCUGGAGAUACUAUUAGACUUGAGACCGGGAGAGGUUAGAGGUACUCCCAGGGUAGAGGUGAAAUUCUGUAAUCCUGGGAGGACCGCCUGUUGCGAAGGCGUCUAACUGGAACGGUUCUGACGGUGAGGGACGAAAGUUAGGGGCGCGAACCGGAUUAGAUACCCGGGUAGUCCUAACUGUAAACGAUGCGGACUUGGUGUUGGGGUGGCUUUGAGCUGCUCCAGUGCCGAAGGGAAGCUGUUAAGUCCGCCGCCUGGGAAGUACGGUCGCAAGACUGAAACUUAAAGGAAUUGGCGGGGGAGCACCACAACACGUGGAGCCUGCGGUUUAAUUGGAUUCAACGCCGGACAUCUCACCAGAGGCGACAGCUGAAUGAUAGCCAGGUUGAUGACUUUGCUUGGCUAGCUGAGAGGAGGUGCAUGGGCCA
rnacentral:rRNA from 1 species